UACGUAGGCAGCGAGCGUUGUUCGGAGUUACUGGGCGUAAAGAGUGCGUAGGCGGUUUUCUAAGUUUGGUGUGAAAUCUCCCGGCUUAACUGGGAGGGUGCGCCGAAAACUGGAAGGCUUGAGUAUGGGAGAGGUAAGCGGAAUUCCUGGUGUAGCGGUGAAAUGCGUAGAUAUCAGGAGGAACACCUGCGGUGUAGACGGCUUACUGGACCAUAACUGACGCUGAGGCACGAAAGCGUGGUAGCAAACAGG
rnacentral:rRNA from 1 species